rnacentral:rRNA from 1 species
UACAGAGGUCUCAAGCGUUGUUCGGAAUCAUUGGGCGUAAAGGGUGCGUAGGCCGCCCGGUAAGUCAGUGGUGAAAUCCCGGAGCUCAACUCCGGAAUGGCCUCCGAUACUGCCGUGCUCGAGGACUGGAGAGGAGUCUGGAAUUCACAGUGGAGCAGUGAAAUGCGUAGAUAUUGUGAGGAACACUAGUGGCGAAGGCGAGACUCUGGACAGUUCCUGACGCUGAGGCACGAAGGCCAGGGGAGCAAACAGG